AUUGAACGCUGGCGGCAUGCCUUACACAUGCAAGUCGAACGGUAACAGGUCUUCGGAUGCUGACGAGUGGCGAACGGGUGAGUAAUACAUCGGAACGUGCCCGAUCGUGGGGGAUAACGAAGCGAAAGCUUUGCUAAUACCGCAUACGAUCUACGGAUGAAAGCAGGGAACCGCAAGGCCUUGAGCGAACGGAGCGGCCGAUGGCAGAUUAGGUAGUUGGUGGGAUAAAAGCUUACCAAGCCGACGAUCUGUAGCUGGUCUGAGAGGACGACCAGCCACACUGGGACUGAGACACGGCCCAGACUCCUACGGGAGGCAGCAGUGGGGAAUUUUGGACAAUGGGCGAAAGCCUGAUCCAGCCAUGCCGCGUGCAGGAUGAAGGCCUUCGGGUUGUAAACUGCUUUUGUACGGAACGAAAAGACUCUGGUUAAUACCUGGGGUCCAUGACGGUACCGUAAGAAUAAGCACCGGCUAACUACGUGCCAGCAGCCGCCGUAA
rnacentral:rRNA from 1 species